rnacentral:rRNA from 1 species
UACGUAGGGGGCUAGCGUUGUCCGGAAUCAUUGGGCGUAAAGAGCGUGUAGGCGGCCCGGUAAGUCCGCUGCGAAAGUCGGGGGCUCAACCCUCGAAUGCCGGUGGAUACUGUCGAGCUGGAGGUUUGGAGGGGGGACUGGAAUUCUUGGUGUAGCAGUGAAAUGCGUAGAUAUCAAGAGGAACACCAGUGGCGAAGGCGAGUCCCUGGACAACACCUGACACUGAGGCACGAAAGCUAGGGGAGCAAACAGG